UAAGAGGGCAAUAAAAAUAAGCACCAAUAAAGCAUCAGCGACAAUCUUAUCGCAACUAGCAAUCAAGUGAUACUAUUCCGCACACCUCCCUAAUCUUUGAUACUCACCGGAAAUGGAAAGCGCCGGGAAGACAUUGAAAGAAGUAAAAGUAGAGGUGAUAGAAGCAACGGACGAGAGUUUCAAAGAGUACGGCCAAGUUAUUGGUCCCUCUCCGGACGGCGAAGAAUUCGGCCCGCAAGAUGCUCAGCUUGAUCUCUCCCGUGGCACCCCUAGGCUUUACAUAAUGAAUCUCAGCGGCCGUUCACUUAAAUUUGGCUCCAUAACACAUCAUGCUAGUGUGACUCAGUGCCUUGGUUCAAUUGGUGGCAAUACUUGGUAUCUAGGAGUUGCCAAGUCCUCCAUACUGGAUCCUAACCAAGUUGAGGGUGACAAGGGACCAAAUGUUGUGCAAGCACAUGCCGGUCAUUUCUAUGUACCGCCUGCAAUUGAAGAUGUCCGUGUUUUUCGAUUUUCAGGUCCUAAGUUUGUGAAGUUGAAUGUGGGUACUUGGCAUGCUGGGCCACUAUUUAAGCCCCAAGAGAUGGCAUUUUACAACCUUGAACUGAGCAACACCAAUGUAGUAGACCACACUACACAUUAUUUCAAGAAUGUUGAUAAUGCGAUGUUCACAUUUGACGAGUAGCCUAUCAAGCCUCCCCCACCUAGCUCGCCCUUCUGUAGUUGACUGUUGGCUAAUGGUCUUUAGAUGUUACUAUAACACUUGAUAGUGUAACACCUUUGUUCAACCAGAAAUUACCAUGUACUUCAUACAUGCCAUGUUAAAGAUAUGGAAAGCCCGCGCCAAAUCUGAGCCAGUGAUAAUUAUGGUAAGAGCUCACAUUUCACGAUCAAAGAUUGUUCAUCCAGUGGGGAUUUACACUUUCGGCAUUGUAUAGCUCAUAUCCGCAUGUAGAUAGCUGGCGUGCAGCUCUUCCAAUUUCAGUAUAUGCUAUUAGGAACACCGGUCUGAUAAUGACUUUUAUGUGAUAAGGUCAAUUGUGAUGCUAUUGCUUUUUGGGAUGUUGAUUAAUUUGGAUCACUUGGAAUAUCUCUAAUUACAUUUUUAGUAUUAAGAAUUUCUAAAUUUUAUGUGUUAAAUGAUCAGAAAACAAAUCAGCUAAUUAUUUUUAGUAUAUUAUUUGUUUUUCAA